UACAGGGGGUGCAAACGUUGCUCGGAAUUAUUGGGCGUAAAGCGCGCGUAGGCGGCUAUCUAAGUCGGAUGUGAAAGCCCCUGGCUUAACUGGGGAAGUGCACCCGAAACUGGGUAGCUAGAGUGCAAAAGAGGGUCGCGGAAUUCCCGGUGUAGAGGUGAAAUUCGUAGAUAUCUGGAGGAACACCGGUGGCGAAGGCGGCUCUCUGGGACGGUACUGACGCUGAGACGCGAAAGCGUGGGGAGCGAACGAGGA
rnacentral:rRNA from 1 species